ACAAUAAUUUUGGAUCACAACCAAAUCACAACACACUUUUUAUUUAUUCUAUUUUUCAUAACACGUUUUGAAAAAUUUCAAGAGAAUUUUGUAACAAAUGUUUUUGACCGAAGCGCUAAAUCUUUCAAGAGUUUUUUGGUAAUUUUUUUUGUAAUUUUCUUAUUUAACUUAACAAUUUUAAAAAAUGCAGUGAAUACGGACCAAACAAGAUACGAAGAGGAACCGAUGUAAAGAGUUGAAAACAUGCGAAUAAUUUACUAUAGAACAUUUUGAAUAAAAAAACCUGGCUAACGCCAGCUAUUGAAUAGUGUCCUGUCGUCGCACAUGAUACGAGUAUCCCGGCCGCGAUUGCUGGCCGCGCGGCCGCUGCUGGUCCGGUAUCCGGCGCCGGUAUCCGCACUGUCUCCGCGUACACAGCGCCCAUCGUGGCUAAAAACACGGCCGGUGCUACGAGCGAAUGAUGCCGCCGGGCGCCGCCGCUGCUGCAUCGGCUGUGUCGCUAAACUAGUCGACUCCUUCCUUAUUAAUUACUCAUAAGUAUGUAUAAGUGAUCAUGUUAAUUCCGAUUGAAUUGUUCAUGCAUACGUUUAGAAUUAUUUUUAUCGUGUUUACUUCUACUUUAACUUUGUUUAACGGUUUUUCCAUCAUACCUAAAAUUUCGCUAAUUAACCCUGUAACUCUUCGACCGUCAAAGACGUCCACAGGGACGCACAGUUACAUUUAUUCAUUCCAAUAAGGUUUACUUUGGAAUGUUAUAUAAAAUAGCCGUGGCGUAAACGCCAUGUGACUCCCCUGCAGCCAUGCAGCUGCAAGCGUCAUCAGGCGGCCUUUAUGCUUGUUUGUCACCGAGUUGGUUUAAAAAAGUAUCUCGAUAACUUUUUUAUAACAUUCUAACACAAUUAAACAUUGUGCGUAGAUAACGUACACAUUAAAAAAAAUGUAAAUAUAAGAAAUUAUUCCAUACGUUUUGUAGACGAAAGCCAUAAUGUAAAUACGAAAAAAAUCUUCUAAAUGUGACUUUACUCAUGUAUACAGAGACAAAGUACGAAUAAUGGACAAUAUUCCUAUAGGUACUUAAUGAUUUAUUUUACAUACCUAAUAAAUAGUUCAGUCAGAAUGACAUGAAUUCAUUGAUAUAGAAUAAGAACUGGAUACCCAAUCAGCCGCAAAAAAUGGCCCCGCAAAAGUAACGUUAAAACAGAUCACGCGUUACUUUUUCGUUUAGUCUUGUAUGGACCGCUCAAAUGUGAAGUUGUCAACAAUGUCGUUAAAAUAUGCAAAAAUAACAAUGAUAAAACAAGGAAAAAGCAUGGAAUGUAUUUCUUUCGGUUAGUGCUUUGGAUAGCAUUACAUAAUUUAUGUAAUCUGGUGGUAAUUUCAUGGUUUUGAUUAAAUUAUUUUUCAUAUCUCAUGCUCUGAAAGUGGGUCGUUGUUGUUCUAAAAGGUGCGCAGAAAGUGAUACGUUUAUGCUCUAGCGCAGAAAAGUGGUGUACUCCUCUGCGUCCCCGUCCCACGAACAACUGGGUGGAAACAAAAUGGAAAAAUAGUGUCUUUAUUUCCUCGCCAGGAACAAUUGGUAAUUGUUUAAUUUUACUAAUCCCACGUUGAUCCUUUGAUUUAUAAAAAAUUAUGUAAGUAAAUUGUUAAAAACAAAUUAUUCUUGAUUUCUUUCGUUGAAUUCUAUUUACUCGAUUUCAUAAGGCGGGAACCAAAAGGAGUACACCAAAAAUAUUUUUUUAAACCUUACGCUUGCGUAAAUGAGCAAAGGCAGAAUCUUAUACAGCCACAGUUAAAUGUUUGUACGAUAUUAAAUUGGUUUUUAAAGUUAUUUAGCACUAUAUUCAUGAAAAUAAAAUAAAAUACAAGAUAAAAAAUUCUUAUAUUAUUAAUUAAAUUGUUAUUUAAUA